UCUCGGAUAGUGUAGUGGUUAUCACGUAUCCUUCACAUGCUCCUGAGCUGAGAUCGGAUAAGGCCCCGGGUUCAAUCCCGGUCUGAGAA